UCUCAUUCCUGCUUUCUCUAGCAUGAGCACGCCAUUCCUCACACCAAAUCUGCUGCUGAGGUUUCAUUCCUCUUCCCCUCUGAAACAGGGCAGACAGCUGAUGAAGAGCCAGCACUCACCUUGACCCAGACUCGGAGCUUCAUCAGACUUUCUCAGCAGGAACAGUCAGGCUUGAAAUGAGAGGCAGUGCUUGGCAGGUGCUCCCAGGAGACUGGCCAAAAAUAAAUGGACUCCCCAGUUAAUUUCCACACUCGUACUAUGAACACUUCUCCUUUAAGAGUGCAGUUCAGGCAUUUGAUUUACGCAAGGCAAGGAGGUUCUUUAUUUGUUUGCAGUAGCAGUACCAAACCCAGCAUACAAUAGAGAAUAUUCAUACCCAUUUUAAGCACCUACUUAAGGUGCCCAGGCUCCCUAUACAGACAAGGGAUCUUUUAGGGUGGGAUUCAGAGCGCUGUAAUUAGCAACCUGCCUCUCACCUUUGAAUAUACCAGGAGUCUAGACAUCUAAUUUAGGCAGAGAAACUGGAUGCUUAAAAUUAGCCGGUACAAAUAGCCCCACCAGUGCACCCACACUGCAGCAGACCAGACAGGAGGCAGCGGGUGAUCUCCAGGGGCGCAUUCACAGCCAGUCCUAUUUGCAAGCUGGGAGAAGCAGAGGGAUGCUGUUUGCAGGGAGCUCUGCUCGGCUGUGACUUCCACCACGCAGCUGCAGCACAGCCCGAGCCUCCUUCCCCAGCUCAGCUGAUAACAGUGUAGCAAGGCUAUGCAUUGCUACAUGACAGCUCAUCCUGCUUUUAAAACAGCCGCACUUCAGCAGCAGUCCACCAGCUUUAAGAUAGAUCAGAAGAAAAUAAAAAGCCUAUUGCCUGCUCGAGCUUGGAG